AUUGAACGCUGGCGGCAGGCCUAACACAUGCAAGUCGAGCGAGCGGCGGACGGGGGAGUAAAGUCUGGGAAACUGCCUGAUGGAGGGGGAUAACUACUGGAAACGGUAGCUAAUAACGCAUACCAUCAGAUGUGCCCAGAUGGGAUGAGCUAUUAGGGGGGGUAAUGGCUCACCUAGGCGACGAUCCCUAACUGGUCUGAGAGUAUGACCAUCCACACUGGAACGGAGACACGGUCCAGACUCCGACGGUAGGCAGCAUUGGGGAAUAUUGCACAAUGGGCGCAAGCCUGAUGCAGCCAUGCCGCGUGUAUGAAGAAGGCCUUCGGGUUGUAAAGGACUUUCAGCGAGGAGGCGUUACUCGCAGAAGAAGCACCGGCUAACGCCGUGCCAGCAGCCGCGGUAAUUC
rnacentral:rRNA from 1 species